GGUACGGGGGAGCAAGCGGUUGUUCGGAUUUACUGGGCGUAAAGGGCGCGUAGGCGGCGUGACAAGUCACUUGUGAAAUCUCCGGGCUUAACUCGGAACGGUCAAGUGAUACUGUCGUGCUAGAGUACAGAAGGGCAACUGGAAUUCCCGGUGUAGUGGUGAAAUGCGUAGAUAUCGGGAGGAACACCAGUGGCGAAGGCGGCUUCCUGGCCUGUUCUUGACGCUGAGGCGCGAAAGCUAGGGGAGCAAACGGG
rnacentral:rRNA from 1 species